rfam:Hordeum vulgare subsp. vulgare, WGS project CAJW01000000 data, contig: morex_contig_1585853
UAACUACUCCCUCCGUCCCAAAAUUCUUGUUUUAUGUUUGUCUAAAUAUGAAUGUAUAUAGUCACAUUUUAGUAUUUAGAUACAUUCAUUUCUAAAUAAAUCUAGAACAAGAAUUUUAGGACGGAGGGAGUACUAC